rnacentral:rRNA from 1 species
AACGAACGCUGGCGGCGCGCCUAAUACAUGCAAGUCGAGCGAGAAGGUGUAGCAAUACACUUGUAAAGCGGCGAACGGGUGAGGAAUGCAUGGGUAACCUACCCUCGAGUGGGGAAUAACUAGCCGAAAGGUUAGCUAAUACCGCAUACGUUUCCGGAACUUCGGUUUCGGAAAGAAAGCAAUACCGUGGGUAUUGCGCUCCUGGAUGGGCUCAUGUCCUAUCAGCUUGUUGGUGAGGUAACGGCUCACCAAGGCUUCGACGGGUAGCUGGUCUGAGAGGACGAUCAGCCACACUGGCACUGCGACACGGGCCAGACUCCUACGGGAGCAGCAGUAAGGAAUAUUGCGCAAUGGACGAAAGUCUGACGCAGCGACGCCGCGUGGGGGAUGAAGGUCUUCGGGAUUGUAAACCCCCUUCGGGAGGGAAGAUGGAGUGGGUAACCACUUGGACGGUACCUCCAGAAGCAGCCACGGCUAACUUCGUGCCAGCAGCCGCGGUAA